rnacentral:rRNA from 1 species
UACGAAGGGUGCUAGCGUUGUUCGGAAUUACUGGGCGUAAAGCGCGUGUAGGCGGGCCGUUAAGUCGGGGGUGAAAGCCCAGAGCUCAACUCUGGAAUUGCCUUCGAUACUGGCGGACUGGAGCAUGGUAGAGGCGAGUUGAAUUGCGGGUGUAGCGGUGAAAUUCGCAGAUAUUCGGAGGAACACCAGUGGCGAAGGCGGGUCUCUGGGUCACUGCUGACGCUGAGGAGCGAAAGCGUGGGGAGCGAACAGG